UAACAGUGCGCUGUUUGCCUGCUGCCCGAAAUACAAGGCUAAGCUGCUGCGUCGCGAGCAGAAAAUCUACAGUUAGUCUGCCAACCGCCUGGACAACAUAAAGUGUGUUUUGGUUAAAAAUAGCAGAGGAAGAGACAAUAUUUGUCUCAUUCAUCGUGUGUGGGGGGUAUAGAAAAAAACAAAACAUUGCAUUUGCACAUCACAAAUACGCAAAGAAAAAGUGUGCAAAAUCGUUUUAAAAAAUUAACACAACAACAUCAACCCGGCAACAACGGCUAACUGCCUAAGGGACAGCUUUUGAUUAGCAUGGCACAGCAACCUUUAAAGCUAACACCUACGCCAUCUUCAAACUCGAAGCCAACAGCAGCGCUAAUAAGUUGGCAGAAGCGUUAGAGGUUCCUUUCCGUGCCUCAAAGUGCCGGAGAAAUGCAGCAAAAAUAGUUUGCAGUAAAAGCAAAGGCUCCAUUGCGUGGUCGGCAACUUUGUGUUCCCCCUCUCUUCCAUUUUCCUCGCAGUGGCCCACAGAGCGUAAAACAAUCGGAAAAGUAACCCCACUUACACACAAACACACACAAACACAUAGACACACACACGCUCUCUCUCUCUCUCUCCCACACACUCACACAAACACAAUUAUACAAAUACAGUAAAACAAAAGGAGCAGAAAA